rnacentral:lncRNA from 1 species
UGACUGGUGUCCUUAGAAGAAGGGAAGGGACACAGGGAGAACAGCCCCUGAUGACAGAGGCAGAGACUGGCAGGAUGUGUCUACGAGCCAAGGAACACCAAGAGUUGCCAGCAACCACUGGAAGCUGGGACGAGGCCAGAAAGCAUUAUCCCCAAGAGCCUUCAGAGAGAACUCGAUCCUGCCAGCACCUUGACUUUGGGCUUCCAGCCUCCAGAAUCAUAGACUACAGGCCUUUGCUGACACUAUGCAAUCAGAUCAAAUUCAGAAGAGGAUGAGUGGAUGCAGCUACUACACUCCUUGGUUUCAAAUUUUGUGCUAAUUGAAACUGCCUCAUUGCUCUCAUUGAUUUUCUUUGUAACAGAUAAAUGCUAUUAAAUUGAAUUGCAAAAUAUAUAAUAAAAUACCACCAUUACUUGCAUUACCUACCAUAAGAUUUUGCUUUUAUAAAGUUCUGCCACUACAAAAAUUAUCUGGGCGAGGUGGUGGGCACCUGUAAUCCCAGCUACUCGGGAGGCUGAGGCAGGAGAAUUGCUGGAACCUGGGA